rnacentral:rRNA from 1 species
CGCGGCCUAUCAGCUUGUUGGUGGGGCAGUGGCCUACCAAGGCGACGACGGGUAGCCGGCCUGAGAGGGUGACCGGCCACACUGGGACUGAGACACGGCCCAGACUCCUACGGGAGGCAGCAGUGGGGAAUAUUGCGCAAUGGGCGGAAGCCUGACGCAGCGACGCCGCGUGGGGGAUGACGGCCUUCGGGUUGUAAACCUCUUUCAGCAGGGACGAAGCCGUGAGGUGACGGUACCUGCAGAAGAAGCACCGGCCAACUACGUGCCAGCAGCCGCGGUAAUACGUAGGGUGCAAGCGUUGUCCGGAAUUAUUGGGCGUAAAGAGCUCGUAGGCGGUUCGUCGCGUCGGCUGUGAAAUCCCGAGGCUCAACCUCGGGUCUGCAGUCGAUACGGGCGGACUGGAGUUCGGCAGGGGAGACUGGAAUUCCUGGUGUAGCGGUGAAAUGCGCAGAUAUCAGGAGGAACACCGGUGGCGAAGGCGGGUCUCUGGGCCGAUACUGACGCUGAGGAGCGAAAGCGUGGGGAGCGAACAGGAUUAGAUACCCUGGUAGUCCACGCCGUAAACGUUGGGCGCUAGGUGUGGGGGCCAUUCCACGGUCUCCGUGCCGCAGCUAACGCAUUAAGCGCCCCGCCUGGGGAGUACGG